AUCUCAAAACAAAACAAAACAUGUCACAUCCGGGGCCAAGCCUAAUCAUUAAUGAAGAGAACUGUGAUGUUUUGCCUAUGUCGAAGAAACUCUAGGAUUUUCGCAUUUCCCUUCUAUAAAAAGGCAGUACUUAGGUACCUAGUCGACUGAAGAGAUAAUAGCCAUCGACGAAGGAGAAGCCACUGGAGCCACAGCGAGUCACUGGAGCACCGCCAUCAACCAUAUAUUCUCAUAGGAGAGGAGAUCUCGCUGUGUUUCAGUCCAUUCUCGUCAUUCUUUCAGUCUUCAACUCUUUUUCUUAUAAAUCCAUCUACUGGUGAUGUUGGGUCAUGCGGGGACCGAAUGAGGUGGCAUGAUUCAUCGUCAGAACGAGAAGGCAGCAUGCCUGUGUGGAAUUGAGAGUUUGGUUGUGGAUCACGCGUGACCGGUGUCGGUAACAUGAUUGUGUGAAGGCGUUGAUCUCACAGGAACCAAAUGAGGUGCUGAGCUCUCACAGGAAAACAUGAGGAACGCGGUGACCGAAUGAGGUGGUGUGGUGUCAUGUUGGCAUCGUCAGAGUUUACCUUGUUUUUUUAUUGUUUGCUGUUGUUUUAAUAAAUGUUAUAGUUAGAUACUUGUGCUAUGUUUUUUUGAUGAUUGUUGGUGAUUUGAGGGAUCCUAGAUCUUUAUUCACUGAGUUUUUGUUUAAAUUAUCAGCCCUUUUUGCUU